rnacentral:lncRNA from 1 species
CCCAACUCUGCUGUUUACAUCUAUGCAAAUCUUCGGUAAUCCAGUACUGAGGCUUGCAUCAUAGCGCGAGGAGCCUGGCUCUUUGCUAAGCUGCAGAAUCAGUUUUGUAUCGCAUCUCGAAAGCCAUGGUGCUAAUGCCUUUGAACAGCGGGACGUUAGAGGACUAGAUGGGGUCCCUCCGUUUCUAAAGCCUGUGACUGCACGAAUGCAGGAAUCCCAACUGCUAGGCAGGGAGUUUGGGUUUGGAGCAGAGGCGACAGCCGGGGGGAUGCCUGUCACAGCUCUGAGACGUCCCAGCAGAGGGAAGGGUCUUGCCCAGCACACAUUGGCUAGGGCCAUGGCAAGUUACUGGCUUGCAACACAGAAUCUGGUAGCAUCUAUGCGUAUGAUUCUUCUCUGAGCAUUGCUGUGACCAUGUUCAUGUCUUUGAGAUAAUAUAUGUUAACAGUAAGUAUUUUUUGACCAGAUAUAAAUGAUUAUAUAGGAAUAUAUAUAUAAAAUGCAAGA